rnacentral:rRNA from 1 species
AAUGAACGUUGGCGGCGUGGAUUAGGCAUGCAAGUCGAGCGAGAACCCAGCAAUGGGGGACAGCGGCGAAGGGGACAGUAAUGUGUAGAUCAUCUGCCCUCAGGUCCGGGAUAGCUGCGGGAAACUGCAGGUAAUACCGGAUAACAUCUCCGGAUCAAAGGUGUGAUUCCGCCUGAGGAUGAGUCUACAUCCUAUUAGCUAGUUGGUGGGGUAAUGGCCUACCAAGGCGAUGAUGGGUAGCGGGUGUGAGAGCACGACCCGCGUCAUUGGGACUGAGACACUGCCCAGACACCUACGGGUGGCUGCAGUCGAGAAUCUUCGGCAAUGGGCGCAAGCCUGACCGAGCGACGCCGCGUGCGGGAUGAAGGCCUUCGGGUUGUAAACCGCUGUCGAAGGGGAUGAGAUUCCGGUGGGUUCUCUUGCCGGAUUGACAGAUCCUUGGAGGAAGGACGGGCUAAGUUCGUGCCAGCAGCCGCCGUAAAAC